UUCAUCAUGUUGAUGUUCCACAGAAGGAAAGUUGGAACGAGUGCCACGAACAGGAGGAUCGUGGUCAGCUUGGGAUGGAAGAAGAUGACGACAUUUUUAAGACCGUUGCUGCAUUGCCUGAGAUGAUUUUCACAGUCCUGGCCUUUGAUAAAGUGCAUAUACAUGUAGAUGCUUAACCAAUCAGUCACUAGGCUUGUGAAUAUGGAAUCCGGAUGCUCCACAAGAUUUAGGACAAGAACUGUAUAAAAAAUGAAAUUGUGCAAGGAAAGUUUGAAGUGUCAGUUGGAAUGAUCAACAUCGAACUUGCUGAGUUUUCGUACUAAAAGUGAAUCCGUUGGUGACGCCAAUUAUCUGUCAACCCUCUAUUGCAAAUUUCAUGGGAUAUCUGAGGAUGUGAUUCUAGCAACAUGUCAGAAGUUUUGUAUCUUCCAUAAUUGGGAUCUUUGGCACGUACAUUGGUGGAAAAUAGCAAAUGUUCAUUUUAUGGGAUCUUUCUAUCAAUGUAGUUGUGUACUACAUAUAUUUUUGCAUUUAAUACAUGUGUUUGUCACUCUAGUCACUAACUUUGUACAGUAAAUGUACAUGGGAUACUGGCACUUUAUUGUAAAUGUAUAUACUGUUGAGGUUUCAAUGACCUCUCCCAAUCCUUGGCCAAUGUCAUUUAAUGAAUCUAACCUCUUAUUUAAAAAAAAUGCAUACUUUAGUUUACUACAUACAUGUAUGUCAUAACUUGAUUAUCACUAAUUUAACCAAGGCGAUCCCCCAGUAAUCUUAUUUUUUCUUGGAUAUUUCUGUUAAUAACCUUUGAUGUAAAAUACUUUGCAGUUUCAUUGAGAAUACAUACAUUUAAAAAAGUGUGCUUAUAUUGUACAUCU